UGAGGGCUGGCGGCUUGUUCGAUUGCGGAGGGGUUUGCUGCGCUGCAAGGCGAUAGGAGCAAUAGCUAUGUCGGCACCUCAACGCUAGGCCCAAUCAUGGAGACAAGUGAAAGAGAGCUGCUGAAAUCCACAGCCCAAGAAGGAAGGUGGUGUCUGUCACAUCCCUUUGUUGCAGCAGGAAUUACGGAGCAAAACUUGCAAAAUCUAUAACUCACUACAGUGGAGAAGGGGAAGCUACUAACAUGAGUUUAACCAAAUUGCGGGAGGCAAUGGAAGACAGGAGUGCCUGGUGUGCUCU